AUUAGCUAGUGGAUGAUCGUCCCGACUCAGUCGGGAAGGAAAGUCCGAACUCUAACCAUUUAAUUGGUAAUGGUAGUGGGUAACACCCACCUCCCGAUCCGUGAGGAAUCGGGACGGGAUAGCGCCACAGAGACAAUACUAUCCGCCGAUGAGGCGGGGAAAGGUGAAAAGUGUAUGGGGGUUUUGGUUCUAGAUCAAAGCUACUAUACUCUCUCAAUAGUGAUAUUGGGACGCGGCAAGCCCUACCUGGAGAAAGAGCAGCCUGACUUCACUUCGUUGCGCCAGAUAAACUAAUUUUAUCCUUUACAAAGAAAAGUAGUUUACCAGGCGCAGCGGAGCGGAGACUGGAAAAGUUAGCUCGUUAUUACCCUGAGUUUAUCGAAGGGUUUGAAUCUAUUGGUAACAAUAGAUCAAGAUAAAUGAUCGUCUUCAACAAAAUUCGGCUUAUAGCUAGGUAAUGAAC
rnacentral:RNase_P_RNA from 2 species